rnacentral:rRNA from 1 species
AGAUUGAACGCUGGCGGCAUGCCUUACACAUGCAAGUCGAACGGUAACGCGGGGCAACCUGGCGACGAGUGGCGAACGGGUGAGUAAUAUAUCGGAACGUGCCCAAGUAGUGGGGGAUAGCCCGGCGAAAGCCGGAUUAAUACCGCAUACGACCUGAGGGUGAAAGCGGGGGAUCGCAAGACCUCGCGCUAUUGGAGCGGCCGAUAUCAGAUUAGGUAGUUGGUGGGGUAAAAGCCUACCAAGCCUACGAUCUGUAGCUGGUCUGAGAGGACGACCAGCCACACUGGGACUGAGACACGGCCCAGACUCCUACGGGAGGCAGCAGUGGGGAAUUUUGGACAAUGGGCGCAAGCCUGAUCCAGCCAUGCCGCGUGCGGGAAGAAGGCCUUCGGGUUGUAAACCGCUUUUGUCAGGGAAGAAAUCUUCUGGGUUAAUACCUCGGGAGGAUGACGGUACCUGAAGAAUAAGCACCGGCUAACUACGUG